CAUUUCUUGGGCCGCUCUCACAGCAUAUGGAGGUUCCCAGGCUAGGGGUUGAAUGGGAGCUGUAGCUGCCAGCCUACGCCAGAGCCACAGCAACGUGGGAUCCGAGCCAUGUCUGUGACCUACACCACAGCUCACAGCAACGCCGGAUCAUCAGCCCACUGAGCAAGGGCAGGGAUCAAACCCGCAACCUCAUGGUUCCUAGUCGGAUUCGUUAACCACUGCGCCACGACAGGAACGCCUCAACUAAAUAUUUAAAAAAAAAUAUUUAAACUGGUAAGUCUCAUGUUUUAAAGCAUGUGAAACAUGAUAAUAUUAUAAAUCAUAUUUUUGUAAGCAAUACAAUUCAGUCAAGGACCAUGCUUUAUACAGGUGUUGCCUUUUUGGCUUCCCCUUCCCUGUGUUGUAGUAAUUCCCUUUUCUGUGGGUCUUGGCAAAGCUACAGGGCUCAGCUUUCAUUACAAAAGCCCAGAAUCCUAGAUGCUUACUUUUUUCCACCUGCUUCAACAAUAUCAGAGAGUAGGUAUGUGGUCAAAAAUCCAGUUUUGACCUUCUGUAUUAGACUACUUGGAUUGUCAUAACAGAAUACCACAGAUUAGGUGUCUGAAACAACAGAAAUUCACUUUCUGACAAUUCUGGAAGUUAGAAGUCCAAGAUAAAGGUGUCAUGAAGACUGGUUUCUGGCAAGAAUUUCAUCCUGAUUUUUUUGUAAAAACUCAUUUAUGAAAGGUUGUCAAAAUAACCUUCUCACGGUGUCCUCACAUGGCCUCCUCUUUAUACUUGUGCAAAAGAGAGAGAAGGAUUGCUGGUGUCUUUUCCUUUUCUUGCAAGAAUAACACGCCUAUCAGAUUAGGGCCCCACCUUCAUGACUUCAUUGAACUUUAAUUACCUAAAAUUAACCUAAAAGCCCUGUCUCCAAAUACAGUCCUAAUGAGUGUUAAGGCUUCAACCUAUGAAUCGGGGUGUGUGUGAGGGGGAGGGGGAGGAAGCGGUUCAAUCUAUAAUACCUUCUGUAUAGGACCAGAAUCUAAGAUGGGCAAUGAGUCACAGUAAAAUAUUACUCUUGGCUGAAGUGAUGGUGUCUGCAAGGGCAUCUCAUUCUCAUUGGUGACUAGCUAACCAUGCCGUUGCGAUGUAGUUACAGCCUAGUUCUGACUGCCUAGCUCUUCAGAUCACAGGCCAGAAAACGAAGCCUUUCCCCCCACCUUUCUAAGCUGUUCUAGAAGCUUCCUCAUAGUCUUUCAAUAAUUUCUAUUUCAAAUUUAAUUAGCCUGAAUCAGUUUCUGUUGCAGCUGCUAAUAACCCUAACUGAAACAGAAUUUUUAACCUAAAAUUAAAAUAUCACUGCAAAUAUAAUAGGUGAUUGAGGUGUGUGUCUCUGAUGAGUGCUUUCAUCUAAUACAAGGUUAAUUGCCUAAAGAGAACUCUGAUAAGUAGGGUAGGGAAAAUAGGGUAUCAUACUAAAAAGAUUAAUUAAAACAAUAGUUAGAGGUCAUUACUUAAAUGACUAAGGAUUAGUAGUUUGAAUAAUAGAAGUCAUUUUGUAGCCUUGACAGACAUUUCACUCACAUUUAUGUAUGUAUGUGGGAGGCUGAAGAUGGAAAUUAUAAUAUCACUUAUUUCUAUAAAACAUAUUUUUACUUUUCUGUUUCACCAAGAGUUUAUCAUUGUUUUGGUAGAGUCACUUUCUUAUACCAACAGUACAACAAAAUCUCUUAUAUUGACAGUGCAUUUCUAUUUGGCAUAUUACAAACCUCUAUUCUAGAGUGUUUGAUGUUUCUUCUCAUCUAAAAUAGAAACUUUAGUAAUUUGUCUAUUCUAUUUUUACCUAUGUUUUAUAAAGCUAUAUUUUGCUGCAGUCUUGACAACGAAAUUUCCCCCCUGUUUCAGAGAAGUUAUUUCUUUCAGUAUCAUUCUUUCUGUUGAGAUGACAUUGAUCCUCAAAUAUUUUUUCCCUCCAGAAAAUAAAUUAGUAUGGCCUUACCUAUAUAAAUCCCUGCGUCGGGGCUCCUGAGCCAGAGCUCUGCAAAAGGAAAGAUUCUUAUACAGAUUCCAUUAGAUCCAGUAGACAGCCUGCAUUGCCAGAGAAGUGUUAUUUAUAGCAGCCCUUCAGGAGAUAAGAAAGAGAAGUUUCCUUGACUUUUCUGACUGAUAACAUCUUCAAUUUGUCACAACACUCAUUUGCAACUGCAGGAGAGCAAUUCCUACUGAUAGACAGUAAGUUCUCAUUAGAACAGAUCUUAUGAUGUCUAUUACAAAGAGUAUUUUUUCUAUUUUAUUUACUAUUUUUUAAAUAGAAAGUUUAUUACAGAUUAUAUCCUAUUAAAUUUAUUUUUUGGUUCCCUUUUUAAUAAUAUCAUAAUAGUUAAUAUUUUUUACUUGUUUAUUUUCUAUCAGAUGCUGUACUAAACUUCACAUAUGUAACAUUUAAUUCUUGAAAAAUCUAUAUGACAUGCAGUAUUAUGGUCAUUUGGGGCUAAGAAAGUUGAAAUUAAGGAAACCAAUGAAGGCUUAAAAUUAUACCUUAAGCAUUAUAUUACAUUGCUUUCUUUAAAGUGAUCAGUGAAAGCAACCUGAAAAUUUUAAGAGGUUAUGAGGAAAGUCAUGAUUGUACAUUGGCAAAAGUCAGACAUUGCAGUAUAACAUAUACUCUGGGUUGGACAGCCAGUGUUAUAGCUAUGAUUUGGCAACCAUCCUACAUAUCACUACCAAAUGCAUCUUACAUUUUCUUCCCAUGUUCAAAGGUUACCCUUGCUGUUGAAUGGAGUUCAGUCUCCUAAACCUUGUACCUAAAGCUAUUCAAGUUUGAUUCUAAACUCCAUUUUUUUUUACCAUUUUUAUUCCAAUAUAUACCCUAUAUUCAAGACAAAAUAGACUAUUUGUUCUUUCUCAAAAUGGCCUCUGUAACUUGGAUUGCAUGAGACUACCACCCUUCUUUUUUUUUUUUUUUAAUGAUAACCUAUUCCAAAAUGUGCAAUGAAAUCUUUGAUAUCUUUUUAAGUGGAAUUGACCUCUUCCUCCUCAAAAGGUUAUGUUAUAUUCUUUUGGCUUUAAUUGUGGUAAUUACUAAGCUUAGUUAUUUCUGUAUAUUUUUCUCUCUCAUACUAAAUUUUAAGCUCAUCUUUAAAAAAUUUAUAGUUGAUUUACAAUGUGUGCCCAUUUUUGCUGUAUAGCAAAGUGGCUCAGUCAUAAGAAUAUAUACAUAUAUAUAUAUAUAUUUUUUUAAAUAUUUUCCAUCAGGGACUAUCCCAGGAGAUUGGAUAUAGUUCCCUGUGCUAUGGAUUAGGACCUUGUUGUUUAUCCAUUCUAAACAUAAGAGCUUGCAUCUACUAAACCCAAGCUCCUAGUCCUUUCUUCUCCCUCCCUUCUCCUCUUUGGCAACCAUAAGUCUGUUUCCUAUGUCUGUGAGUCUGUUUCUAAGAUCAGUUUAUUUGUGCAAUAUUUUAGAUUCCACAUAUAAGUGAUAUCAUAUGGUAUUUGUCUUUUUCUUUCUAACUUCACUUAGUAUGAGAAUUUCUAGUUGCAUCCAUACUGCUAUGAAUGGCUCUUUUUUUUUGGCUGAAUAUUAUCCUUUUGUAUAUAUGUACCACUUCUUUAUUCAUUCAUCUGUUGAUGGAUACUUAUGCUAAUUCCAUAUCUUGGCUAUUGUUAACUAGUACUGCUAGGAACAUAAGAGUGCAUGUAUUUUUUUUUGAAUUAUGGUUUUGUCCAGAUAUAUGCUCAGGAGUGGAAUUUUUGGAUCAUAUGAUAAUUCUAUUUCUAGUUUUCUGAGGAAACUUCAAAAUGUUUUCCAUAGUGGUUACACUAAUCUACAUUCCCACCAACAGUUAGGAGGGUUCCUUUUUCUCCACAUGCUCUCCAGCACUUGUUAUUUCUAACCUUUUUUUUGUGUGUGUUUUUUCUUAGGGCUACACCCACAGCAUGUGGAAGUUCCCAGGCUAGGGGUCAUAUUGGAGCUGCACCUGCCAGCCUUCACAACAGCCGUGGCAAUGCUGGAUCUGAGGCACAUCUGCGACCUACACUGCAGCUCAUGGCAAUACCAGAUCCAAGUUGCAUCUGUGACCUACAAUACAGCUCAUGGCAACACUGGAUUCUUAACCCACUGAUUGAGGCCAGGGAUCAAACCCACUUCCUCCUGGAUAUUAGUCAGGUUCAUUACCUCUGAGCCACAACAGGAACUCCCUCUAACUUUUUAAUGGUGGCUAUUCUGACUGGUGUGAGUUGGUACCUCAUUGUAAUUUUAACUUGUAUUUCUCUAAUAAUUAGUGAUGUAGAAAGCUCAUCUUUUUACCUCUUGCAUUUUCCCUGGGUUAUAACAUGAGUAACUUGUGAGGCUAUCUUCAAACUGAGAACAAAUAUAUAAACUUAGUACUUAAAGAGUUUAACCCCAUUGAAACCAAGGCCAUAAGAACUACUUUCCUAGCAUUCUUUCUGGAAAAAAAAUCACGAUGCAAUAGUUAUUAUAUCAAAUAUCAGUUUUCAAGAUUUUUAUAUGUCUUUUUAUGUGUCAGGAGGGAAAUACAUGAUUAAUAGAGAUAUAUCCAAGAAAACCCCUAAACUAUUAUUUUCUUUGAAAACCUAUAUAGUCACAUAAAACUCUUCUUCAAGCCCUAGACCAUACAUGACUUUCUUUCCCCCGCUUUUGUUUUCCUGAAUCUGCUCUGAAAAGCCCAAAUAAAACAUGUGGCAAUUACAUAUACCUUAUCAAAGAAUGAGGAGGGAAUGAACUAUAAAAUCAGAAUCUUCUUUAGGAGAUUUAAGGACAGGAUACCCUGGAAACUUUCUUAUAUUAAUAAAUAAUGUUCUGUCUAUUACCAACUAGUUUUCUUGGCCUUCCUUAAUCACUAGAAAUUGGUAAGAGGCCAAAAAAGAAAUUCAGGAGAGGCUUUAUUUGGGGCCCCUGCUGCAGCAGGGAAAAGUGAUAACAAGUAUCUUGUUCCCUUGCCCACUCCCCAAAGUGGGGGUUGAGCUGGUCCCUUUUAUGGGUGGGUGCAGGGGUUGGCUGGAAGGGUUUUAGGUGGUUUGCCCACCCCUUUGGUGGAAUUGAGUGCAGGUGACAUAUGCAGACCCUAUUUUUGCUCCUGGUUCUUCAGAAGUGGCAGUUGGGCUUUUUGGUCUUUUUGUAUCUUACUGUCCAUGGCUUGCUUCAACUGCACAUGCACACAGUUAUUUUUAGUUCCAUAUAGUUCCUUUGUAUUUUGUGGCUUGAGAGGAUGCUUGCUCAAGUGCAAACACUGCAGUAAAGGGUCCCAGAUCCCAGGUCCCAAGUCCCAGCCUCUCUCAUGUCUAAUAAAUAUCAGGAAAUUCAUCAGGUUGUAAUUACCCCUUUAAAACCCUAAUGAGGAAGAGAAAAAUUCUUUAUAAACAAAAGGGCACACUUGGUAAUUAAAGGUAGAAAAAAUAAUAAAAUAUGUUAAUACUAUGGAAUUAUAAUAGAAGUUAUGCCUUUUAUGUUCUUUUGAAACUUGUUCUCAAGUUUUGAACAUAAAGUCAGUGUUGACAUGUUCCCAGUUGCUAACUCAUAUCAUCCAUCAGAAGGUAUUAAUAGCUGUUAUUGAACUAUUAGAAUUUGCACUAUCUUCUUUUGAACUCAUAGUCUUUCUCUAGAAACUACAGAGGCAGCAGGUUUAUUUGUGAAUACUCAUAUUAAUAGGGCCCAAGCAUGUAUAAAUCCAUGUUCCCAAACAGAAGCUUACUCUUCCCAUCUUAACCAUCUACCUCAGGGCAUCCAGAUGGGCCUUUGGUACAUGUAUUUGCAUGACCCCAUCCACACAUCUAAAGUCCAUUCAUGUUCCCUCUCCCUCAAUCAGUUGCAGUUUCUUGGCUUCCCCUUGGAUUGAGAAGUAUACACACUGCAGCAAAUGUAUCUUCUCUAGAACAUACUAGAUAAAGAAGUUUGUACAGAACUUGUAACAGGCCAUUUGAGAAAAGAACUCAAAAAACUUGUGUUAUCUAGAGCAUGACCUAGAAGAGAAGGGGCCUCUGGUUGGCUGUGUCAUCAUGGACCUUUCUUCUUACCCUGUGAAAGAGGGUGGCUUCUCAAAUCAAAAGUAAUCUAGUAUAAAAUACCAGUGAGUAUUUUAGAAAAAAAAAUGGACUUUUAUGUAAUUAAACUUUUUUUCAGUAGCUAUUGCAUUUAAAUUAGACCUUUCACACUAGUUAUUUCCAUUGUGGAUCUAUAUGGAUAAAUUCUAUAAAUUAGUUUAUGUCAAAUAUAUUUUACAAUGUUCUUUGGCUCCCCUGAAGCAAUUAUAUAAGGAUAAAAUACAGCUUCAUACUUUAUAGCUGCAUCUUUCAAACUGAAAACCAUUAGCCCUUAUGACCUUU
rnacentral:lncRNA from 1 species